rnacentral:rRNA from 1 species
AAGCAUAUCAAUAAGCGGAGGAAAAGAAACUAACAAGGAUUCCCCUAGUAACUGCGAGUGAAGCGGGAAAAGCUCAAAUUUGAAAUCUGGCGGUUUUUGACUGUCCGAGUUGUAAUCUAGAGAAGUGUUACCUGUGCUGGACCGUGUAAAAGUUUCCUGGAAUGGAGCAUCAUAGAGGGUGAGAAUCCCGUCUUUGACACGGACUACCUGUACAUUAUGGUGUGCUCUCAAAGAGUCGAGUUGUUUGGGAAUGCAGCUCAAAAUGGGUGGUAAAUGCCAUCUAAAGCUAAAUAUUGGCGAGAGACCGAUAGCGAACAAGUACCGUGAGGGAAAGAUGAAAAGAACUUUGGAAAGAGAGUUAAACAGUACGUGAAAUUGCUGAAAGGGAAACGCUUGAAGUCAGUCGCGUUGGCUAGAAAUCAGCCUUGCUUUUGCUUGGUGUAYUUUCUGGUCUGACGGGUCAGCAUCAAUUUUGACCACUGGAUAAAGUCUCUGGGAAUGUGGCAUCUUUGGAUGUGUUAUAGCCCAGGGUCGCAUACGGUGAUUGGGAUUGAGGAACUCAGCACGCCGCAAGGCCGGGUUUCGACCACGAUCGUGCUUAGGAUGCUGGCAUAAUGGCUUUAAUCGACCCGUCUUGAAACACGGACCAAGGAGUCUAACAUGCCUGCGAGUGUUUGGGUGGAAAACCCAUGCGCGCAAUGAAAGUGAAAGUUGAGAUCCCUGAAAGGGGAGCAUUGACGCCCGGACCAGACCUUUUGUGACGGAUCCGCGGUAGAGCAUGUAUGUUGGGACCCGAAAGAUGGUGAACUAUGCCUGAAUAGGGUGAAGCCAGAGGAAACUCUGGUGGAGGCUCGUAGCGAUUCUGACGUGCAAAUCGAUCGUCAAAUUUGGGUAUAGGGGCGAAAGACUAAUCGAACCAUCUAGUAGCUGGUUCCUGCCG